CCUACGGGUGGCAGCAGUGAGGAAUAUUGGUCAAUGGGCGCGAGCCUGAACCAGCCAAGCAGCGUGAAGGAUGACUGCCCUACGGGCUGUAAACUUCUUUUAUAAAGGAAUAAGGUGAGGCGAGUGUGCCUUUUUGUAUGUACUUUAUGAAUAAGGAUCGGCUAACCCCGUGCCAGCAGCCGCGGUAAUACGGAGGAUCCGAGCGUUAUCCGGAUUUAUUGGGUUUAAGGGGAGCGUAGAUGGGUUGUUAAGUCAGUUGUGAAAGUUUGCGGUUCAACCGGACAAGUGCAAUUGAUACUGGCAGUCUUGAGUACAGUUGAGGUAGGCGGAAUUCGUGGUGUAGCGGUGAAAUGCUUAGAUAUCACGAAGAACUCCGAUUGCGAAGGCAGCUUACUAAACUGCCACUGACAUUGAUGCUCGAAAGUGUGGGUAUCAAACAGGAUUAGAUACUCGAGUAGUC
rnacentral:rRNA from 1 species